rnacentral:lncRNA from 1 species
CAUUUUGGUCCGUCGAGGCAGAUGUGAAACGAGUAGACUAGUAGAAUUGAGCUCAUCGAGAAGACUGUCCCAAGACAUUUCAUCAUCUUGCCGAAAGUGAGUUCUUAUUUGUUAUAAUCAUAAGUCGAUAAUUCAAUCAUGAUGGAUGAACAAGUUCAAUUGAAACAAUUUAAAGCAAAAAGAGGCCAGAUAAAGUCUUCGCUCACACGACAUUCGAAGUUUGUGAGUGAGCGGGUAGACAAAGACAAUGUAACGGUAGAGGUGAAGAAUGAAGUUAGGGUUAGAUUAGAGCGACUUGCACCUUUAUUAGAUCAAUUCAAUGAGACACAAUACGAUAUUGAAUCUAUGGUUG